rfam:Erysipelothrix larvae strain LV19 chromosome, complete genome.
CGCGGGGUAGAGCAGUUCGGUAGCUCGUCGGGCUCAUAACCCGGAGGUCGCAGGUUCAAAUCCUGUCCCCGCAA